AACGCAUAUUGCGCUCUUUGGUAUUCCGAAGAGCAUGCUUGUUUGAGUAUCAGUAAACACCUCAAAACUCUUGAUUUUUUCAAGAGCUUUGGACUUGAGCAAACCCAACACCUUCUCUCACGAUUUGGCGGCGGGUUGCUUGAAAUGCAGGUGCAGCUGGACAUUCUCCUGAGCUAAAAGCAUAUUUAUUUAGUCCCGUCAAACGGAUUAUUACUUUUGCUGCAGCUAACAUAAAGGGAGUUUUGACCGUAUUGGCUGACUGAUGCAGGAUUUCACAGAGUCGGAAACGAUUUUGUCAAACUCGAUCUCAAAUCAAGUAAGAUUACCCGCUGAACUUAA
rnacentral:misc_RNA from 1 species